GACGAACCGUGCGAACGUUAUUCGGAAUCACUGGGCUUAAAGGGCGCGUAGGCGGGCAGUCAAGUCAGGGGUGAAAUCCCACGGCUCAACCGUGGAAGGGCCUUUGAUACUGGCUGUCUCGAGGGAGGUAGGGGCGUGCGGAACUUCCGGUGGAGCGGUGAAAUGCGUAGAUAUCGGAAGGAACGCCGGUGGCGAAAGCGGCGCGCUGGACCUCUUCUGACGCUGAGGCGCGAAAGCGUGGGGAGCGAACGGG
rnacentral:rRNA from 1 species